AACGCGAAGAACCUUACCUGGGUUUGACAUGCCUCUCUAAGCCGGUGAAAGCCGGUGAGUGUAGCAAUACAUAAUUGGCACAGGUGCUGCAUGGCUGUCGUCAGCUCGUGUCGUGAGAUGUUCGGUUAAGUCCGGCAACGAGCGCAACCCUCGUCCUUAGUUGCCAGCGGGUCAUGCCGGGAACUCUAAGGAGACAAACCCCUUAUAGGGGUGGGAAGGUGGGGACGACGUCAAGUCAGUAUGGCCCUUAUACCCAGGGCUGCACACGUGCUACAAUGCCUGGUACAAAAGGAAGCAAAACCGCGAGGUCGAGCCAAUCCCCAAAACCAGGCUCAGUUCAGAUUGGAGUCUGCAACUCGACUCCAUGAAGCCGGAAUCGCUAGUAAAGGUGUAUCAGCAACGGCACCUUGAAUACGUUCCCGGGCCUUGUACACAACGCUAGUC
rnacentral:rRNA from 1 species